UUGUUAAUCUAGUGACUUUAAGAUCGCCUAAAAGCAGACUAUGACAAAAAAGAGUGAAAACUAUGAACAACUUUGUUGUUUGUUUUAAAGAUUUUAAAAAUGGCUUGUCGUAUGCUACAUAUUUAGAGUUGUAAAUAAUUUGAUAAAAAAUGUUCAAUCUAUAAACAAUGACCUGAAGAUGAAUUAUGAAAGGGUGUGACAAGUAUCAGUAAUGCAGGAAGACGCAGAGAUAGAGCAAGAAGAGUAGUGAAAAGAGAAAGCUCCU